rnacentral:lncRNA from 1 species
AGGGAGGGGAUUAAAAAAAAAAAAAGGAAAGGAAAGAAAACCACCCCAGCCCGCAUCUUCGCGCCAGUCUUCGCUUUCCCUCCCUCCCUGUCGGGCUGAGCCGAGCCGCAGCAUUCCCACUCCGCGAACGGAUCAGACCCACUUAAGCGGAGUCGUUGCUGCUUCGCCACCAGCAUGGCUACUCCCGCGGCGCCCCUACAUGAUACCGACAGCCACAUGGACCCCUUCACUUACGACUACGACACGCUGCGCUUGGUGGGGCUGAUCUUGGCUAUCGUCAUGUUUGUGCUGGGAAUCGUUAUAGCCCUGAGUAAAAAAUUCAAGUGUAAAAAAUCUGACCCCAGCCUGUCGGACCCUCGGGCAGCAGGCAAGACUCCUAGUAAGUUGUGUGGCAUUGGGAGCUGGGGGGAGGUGAAGGGCCAGUGGAGUCGUAGCUCCAUCUUGUGUCUGGUGAGCAAAAGCCCAGGGGUCCACUUUCACCAAUGUUUUUUUGGCAAGGCAAAACGACUGUUUUCCCCAAGGUAAAGCGGUCCUUCUUGCUGAAUGGGGGGUUCUGCUAUCUGUAUACAUUCAUAAGCAUCUCCCUGCCCACUUCACCCCCAUCUCAUUGCCAAGGUAGUAAGGGAUAUACAAUCGAGUGGCUGAAGCUUCUACAACUGAUGUAACCCCCCCCCCCUCCACCUACCUUCAGUUGCCAUGGAAUUGGCUGACGUUGCAUAGGGAUACUGGGGGUUGUGUGGGAGCACCAUGGCAACAGACAGCACGAUUCUUGCUGAAAGCUGGGAAGCCCACAGGGAAGUAUUAUUUGCAAGGGCUCCUGGGCAUCAGGAUGCGACUUCUCCUUGCCUUACCACCACCACCUUUCCCCCUCUUCUCUCUUUUCUCUCCCUUCUGUAGCUCCAGCCGGCAGUGCGUAGGUGCCGUCACCAGGAUGUGCUGCCCCCAACUGGCUGGGGGAUGAACUGCGCCCAGGACAUUUCUUCUAAGACCUUGGCACCGACUGCCCGGGAGGGGGAGGGGCUCUCCGUUCUAUCCUCAACAAGGGAGGGGCAAUUUUAUAACCAGUUAGCUCUUGCGCUUCCAUUGCAUGAUGGGAGCAGGCACCUGGGUGGGGGUGGGGUAGGAUGCAGGCCAUGAGGUGGCAGGUACCUCUGCCUGUCGAUUUCAUUGGGCACCCACCCUGCUCGGGGCUGGUUCCUAUAAGCCCCCAACCCCCAGAAACGGUCCCUUAAACUGCAAUAAUGCUGCCUGCUGCCAUCCUCUGGCAAACCUUGACCCAACAUGCCCACUUGCUGCUGGGCACAAUAGACAUGCCAUUGCUACUGCUGCUAUUGUUGCUGCUACUGCUUUGCUUUCUAUGCCUCCUGCUAUGCUAUAAAGUCCAAGGUUAGCCACAAAGGGAACUGGGAUGCUCCAAAGAGCCAUCCGCCCCCCCUGUGCUGGACACAUAAAGGCCUAGCCCUUUAUGGGGUGGGGUGUCUGGUCACCCAUUAGGCCAAGUACAGGACCAGCCAGGAAAUAGUAUUUAGCAAGUGAGGGUGAGCUAUUGUGACAAUACUCUCCAGUUCCCCUAGGGGGUGCUGCUCACAGUUUCUCCUUGCAGAACUAUCCACAUCUCCAUGUCUCAUUCACGCAUGGAGCAAAAUUUGAACAGAUAAUAAAUGUGGGGUUUUCUAACUAAUCUUUGCCUUG